rnacentral:rRNA from 1 species
UGCCUCUAGAUUCUUUAUUAAAGGUACAUCCUGCCCAGUGAUUACUUCAACGGCCGCGGUACCCUGACCGUGCAAAGGUAGCAUAAUCAUUUGCCUCUUAAUUGGUGGCUAGAAUGAAUGGACAAACGAGAUUAAUUCUGUCUCCUCAAUACUCAAAUAAAUUAGUCUUCAGGUGAAGAAACCUGAAUACAAAUAAAAGACAAGAAGACCCUGUUGAGUUUCACUUACCCUAGUUAAUUCACUAACUUUACUACAUAAAGUUUGGUUGGGGCGACCAGGGAAUAAACUAAACUUCCCUAAUCAAUAAGAACAAUAUCUCCAUUACUAUGACCCUCCACCAAGAUCAAUAAAAUAAACUACCACAGGGAUAACAGGCUUAUCUUUCUAGAGAGUUCAAAUUGAUAGAAAGGUUUGGCACCUCGAUGUUGGCUUAGAGUACUCAAAUGGUGCAGCAGCCAUUAAUGAUUAGUUUGUUCAACUAUUAAAACUCU